UACGAAGGGGGCUAGCGUUGUUCGGAAUGACUGGGCGUAAAGGGCGCGUAGGCGGCGAUCUUAGUCAGGCGUGAAAGCCCUGGGCUUAACCUAGGAAUUGCGCUUGAUACUGGGUUGCUAGAGUGCGGGAGAGGAUGGUGGAAUUCCCAGUGUAGAGGUGAAAUUCGUAGAUAUUGGGAAGAACACCGGUGGCGAAGGCGGCCAUCUGGACCGUUACUGACGCUGAGGCGCGAAAGCGUGGGGAGCAAACAGG
rnacentral:rRNA from 1 species